AUGGACCAUGUGUAGACAACACAUAAAAAUAUGAAAUAAUUAAUACUAAAUGGGGAAUAUCUAAGCUCUAUUUACAAAAAAAAACAUUGUUGGAAUAUUAAGUAGUUAAAUAACAAACUUACGGUGUGUGAAGACUCAAGUCGGCAGGGAGACGAGGAAAAAUAAUUCUUUUCAGAUCAUCUGAUCGACGCGCCACCAUACGGCAUAGGACGACCAUGUCCUUGACCAUUCCUCUCAACCAUAGCCUUCUCUAUUAAGAAAGCCGAAAGGUUGGAGCUUUUUUUUGAAGCAAAUUUUGCUUCCCUACCUCCAAUUUUGCCCAUCCUUCAAGUGUACCCACGGGAGCCGUUUUAUCGCCUAGUGGCGAUUUUAAAAAGUUAACUUUUCGAUCGAUAUGAAUUCAUUCCUUCUGAAAUGAAUGAGGCAUCCCUCAAUUACACAUGUUAUGCCCAUUCUCGCCGAGCCGGAGACAAAAAAACUUUAUUGUACGGCUUCACGCGUUGAAUGGCUGCGAAUGAACAUAUGCAAUAAACAGGAAUGCAUGCCGUUCCGUGUAACAUCGUCAUUAAAAUCCCUCACGGCAAAAUAUAAAUGGGGCGUUCAUAAAUUACCGCUCAUAAAUCCGGGUGAUUCUCCCCCUCCCCCCUACAUCAUUUUUAUCACCAGAUGGCUCCCGUGGGUACCCUUGGAGGAAGGGAAUGGGAGGAAAGGUGAGCAAAAUGUGCUUCACUUUUCCAACAUGCAAGGGAUAGCGUUCCUUUCGGCUUUCUCUAAUAGAGAAGGCUAUGUCUCAACGCUAUCCCAGUUCGUAGUCUUUACCCUCUUAGUCUGUGGUAGUACCAAGAUCAAUUUUCUUCAUCCCUAGGAUGUCUGCAAUUGUUGAUUAAUUGACUUCUGGUUGUUUGAAAUGCAUCUACAAUUGUUAUUAAGGAAACAGAAGUGGGGCAAGAAAGAAAUGUUCUGUCAACAAGGUAACAUACUAUACUAUUUGACAUUCACCAUGAACAUGUUCAACCGGUCUGCUUAAAAUUUAGACUGAGUUUCAUUUCUGGCCAAUGGGUUAUAAUCUACCCACCACGUGUUACACACCACAUUGUUUCCUGUUGUAUCUUGUUCAGUUCGUUAGAUCUAGACGAUUGGGAUGUGACGCUAUUGAUCAUUUAAAAAUUUGUUUCUGCUGAAAUUACAUUUUAAAGAUGAUUGUGGGAAUUGGGUUUCCACUUCACAAUGGCUGCCGGCAAAUAUUUAUUCAGAUGAGUAAUUACGAAGUGUUCCCAUUUAUGCUAUAAAUUUUACCAUUUUUGUUUAGGUAUCUGCAUCUUUGGUUCAACAAAAGUUCAUUUAGAAAGCUUUACAGUAGAGAAAUUCAAACUGUAAGUCAAACAAAGCCAGUAAUGGACUUGUAUUAAUAGAAUAACAAAUGUGCUGUGUUAACGUACGUUCUGUGUACUGUACGUAGCCGUAAUGACGGGUAAUGAUUCACCAAAUCGGUAAAGCCGAAAAUGUUAGUUGACCACCUUAAUGUGGCAGCAAAUGCAUGUAAAUAGCCAAGUAUUUUUUUCCUCCUGCUUGAAGAUCCAUUCAAGCUCAAAACUUCUAGAUAAAAGCCAAUUACUGACACAUGUUGUAAAGGUUAAAGGCUUAAAGCGACUGUGUUUGAUGGAAUUGUAAAAAAUGGACUGAUCAUACAUCCUUGGGAGAGAGAUAACCAAAUUGAUUAUCUCUGCCUUUGGAUUAGAAAACAACUUAUCUGCUGUGAUACUUCUUGAAAUUAGGGGUUAUUGAAGGCCUAAUGCAUAUAGGUAUGUAUACUUUUUCUCUCAUUUCAUUUGCUUAAUGAAUGACCUCAGUUAGGGGUUACCGCUUGAUUCGGCAUGUCAAAUUGGCUUACCUCCACCUCCACGCCUUGAUUUACAUCCGUUGGGAAGUCUGCUCUAACAGAACGAUGUAAGCAGUGGCAUCUGGCAUGUGAUAAUUAAUAGUGAAUCUGACGAAAUGGGCUUUUUCUCCACAAAAGACUCUGAAGACAGUUGCACAACAAGCGUAGGAUUUUGUUGCACACCAUGUGGCCGUAGAAUGGCGAGGCACAAGAACCGGCCAGCAGACCAUUGAUACUUUUUAGUUUCUCGUAAAUUGGCAAUAAGAUUGCCCCAACAGCAUUUCCACUAUUCACCUACUGCAGCCAGCCCAGGAUCAUAAAGGAUGUUUAAUGUCUUUUACAGAUUGUGCAGAGGCUGCCCAGAGUUAUGGACCCCUGGGUCUAUGACUCUGGUUAGAUUUGAAAUUUUUGAUUUCAUGGCGCCAUGAAAUCGUGCGCCACUAUCGAUACUCAUUAUCUUGGCGUACUACGUAGUUAGUAAAUCAACCUGUACUUUCGGAGCUGUUAACGAUCUCUUUAACAAUUCUUUAUACCGGCUUCUCUUUGCAACUAGGAAAAUUUUGUUUACAAUUUAAAGGAGAGUGUAGCUCAUUCUUUAGAUUAAAAAGAAAAAAUUAAUUUCUGAUUUUUCUUCCGGUUUUAAAAUGCCAAAUGACUCUUUAUUUCUUAGUCUCUCCGAAAAAAGAUUCUCAUUUUCGUGAUCCUCGUCAAAUAUGUGGUUGACUCCAUGGAUCAACUCAAAAUACCCGAAAAUCGUCAAAAAUCGCAAAUUUUCCUGAACGUUCAUGAAAAAUCACGAUUUUGGUCAAAUCCGGCUUUUGGCCAUAAACUUGUCAUUCUUACCCCAAAUCUAAUAAGGAUCAUGAAAAUCUGACUCGUUUGGUUAUGAGGUCACUAUUUCCGGAGAUAUUGGCCACUUUCGGUUACUUCCGGAAAUUUGUAGUGACAAAUUAAAAAAAGUAAAAAAUAAGCUGUAUCAUUCUAACAAUCACAAAUAUUUUUCUUGCAUGUGUUAGGGUGUUGCAGCUAUUAUUCCAUAUUUUUCUUGCUAUCAACAGUACUGGAUGACCCUAAGAGCAACGGCAGUUUUAGCUACAGAUUUUUAGUGUCUCGUCUUGGAACUAGUAGUUGAUAUUCUAGUUUUUAUGUUUAAAAUUUGAAUUAAACAAUUUGAGAUUAGUAAAGUCCAAGCAUUUAAAAGCAAGAAUUGCACUGAUUUUAAAGGUAAAUCUAUUUUCUUUGGGUUGAACUAGAUGGCGUUAUUGUGCGUAUAUGAUAAAAAAUGCGAAUGACAAGUUAAAUGGGUGUUCAAAGUAAAAACUAAAACUGUUCGUGAUUUGGUACAAAGUCCUUAUUGAAUACGUAUUAAAACCAAUUUAAACACGAGCAGUUAGACUUUCAUUGCAGACUAAUGGGUCUCAGAUCAAUCCACCAGGUGCUGCUGAAACCUGUUGUUUUGAGAGCUGUCACAGAGUCGUUUUAUGUUAAGGUAAGGUAAGGUAAGUUACAAAAUUCAACCCUAUUAAUUAGUGAUUAACGGAACUCCAUUCAACCAACUGUUUUAUUGACAAACACUUUUCUCAGGUUUACUAGUUUUUUCCAUAACUUAAUGGUGAUGUUUCACUGCAAUCUAGUGGCAAUUACUUUCCCCUCAAAAAGCAAAAUAAGCCUGACUUUUUAAGCCCGACUUUAACUAGGGGCCCUCACACCGUUCGGGAAGUUCCCGAUAGGGUUGGGCUGUAGUUGUUCUUGAAUAGCGACAACCCUAUAUGCUCUGAUUACACUCAACGGCUCCCGCUGUUCGCGAAGUUUUCGAUAGCGUUGGAGAAAAAAGAAUCACAUUGUAUAAUAAAAACUGACUGCUAAUUUCGAUUAAGUAAAUGGUUUCCUUGUUAAAUUAGCCGAUUUUAAAAUAAACGAAAAUAAAGUUA